rnacentral:lncRNA from 1 species
UUUUCUUGCCUUUUCUGGGCCGCACCCACGGCACAUAGAGGUUCCCAGGCUAGGGGUCUAAUUGGAGCUGUAGCCACCGGCCAUACUAGAGCCACAGCAACGCAGGAUCCAGGCCGCGCCUGUGACCUACACCACAGCUCACGGCAACGCCGGAUCCUUAACCCACUGAGCAAGGCCAGGGAUCAACCUCAUGGGUCCUAGUCGGAUUCCUUAAGCACUGCGCCACACGGGAACUCCUAGAUUGUCUUUUAACUGGGGAUUUCAACGUCUCUUGAAAGGGAGCAAGGAUGUUUAAAAGAAGAAAAUGGCAAGAAUGAACAUGAACAUAUCUGCAGGCUAAGCAUAAGCUCUACUAUGAUGCCACUUAAUAAAUGAUUGCUGAGUAAAUAAAUGACUGCAUUUUAAAUAAAUGAAUGUCACGGAAAAAAUAAAAAUUAAAAAAGACUCAAAAAAGUGGUUUGAAAAAAGUUACUAAUAAACAAGAUGGAAUGAAAAAUAAAUAAAUAAAGACCCUUAGCCUCUUUGGAGACUCUACUUCCUCAUCUGUAAAAUGGAUACCAUAAUAUCUUUUGGCGGCCUUCACAAAAUUGCCAUGAAGAUCAAGUGGGAUAAAAGACAGUCGUUUAAUACCCUGGAGAAUCGUUCCGCAGUUAACUCAACCCACGGUCCCUGAGCACCAUGCAGCAGGCAUUGCUCCAGGUGCCGGGGACACGGCCACGCACCAAGCAAGCAAAGCCCUUGCUGACGCUCCACCAGGGAGCAAUGGAGAGUAAAACAGGAAACCUAGGAAGGAGGCAAAACCCUCAAGUAUGCCUUAAUGAUAGACACACUUAGAUGACAGGGCUAUGGGCAAAGGGGAAAGUAGAGCGGGGUAACGGGUGACUGGGGUUAGGAUGAGCUGCAAUUUAAAAUCAGGUAUUCACUGUUGGUGAGAAUAUAACCUGGUGUAGCCACUAUGGAGGAGAGUGUGGAGGUUCCUCAAAAACCUAAAAAUAGAGUUGCCAUAUGACCCAGCAAUCCUACUCGUGGGCAAAGAUCCAUACAAAACUGUGACUUGAAAAGAUACAUGCACCCCAAUGUUCAUAGCAGCCCUGUUCACAACAGCCAAGACACAGAAGCAACCUAAAUGUCCAUCAGCAGAUGAAUGGUAAAGAAGAUACACACACACACAAUGGAAUAUUACUCAGCCAUACAACAUGAAAUAAUGCCAUUGGCAACAAGAUGGAUGCAACUAGAGAUUAUCAUACUAAGCGAAGUAAGUCAGAAAGACAAAUACCAUAUGCUAUCACAUAUGUAGUCUCAAUUAUGACACAAAUGAACAUAUCUAUGAAAGAGAAAGAGACCCACAGACACAGAGAACAGACUCAUGGUUGCCAAGGCGGAGGAGGCGUGGGGGAGAGAAGGAUGGGAGUUAAUGUGCGAUUAGCAGAAGUAAACUAUUAAACAAGGUCCAACUGUAGAGCACAGAGAACUACAUUCAAUAUCCUGUGAUAAACCAUAAUGGAAAGCAUGUAUAUGUAUAUGUAUAUGUAUAUGUAGAAUGUAAUUACUUUGUUGUACAGCAGAAAUUGACCUGACACUGUAAAUCAAUUAUACCUCAAAAAUUUUAUUUAUUUUUUGUCUUUUGUCUUUUUAGGGCCACACCUGCGGCGCAGGGAGGUUCCCAGGCUAGGGGUUGAAUCAGAGCUGUAGCCGCUGGCCUACGCCAGAGCCACAGCAACGUGGCAUCCAAGCCACGUCUGCGACCCGCACCACAGCUCACAGCAAUGCCAGAUCCUUACCCCACUGAGCGAGGCCAGGGAUCCAACCCAUAACCUCACGGUUCCUAGUCAGAUUUGUUUCCACUGUUCCACAAUGGGAACGCCUACUUCAAUAAAGUUUUAAAAUAAAUAAAUAAAAUAAAAUCAGGUGUUCAGAGUAGACCUCGUUGAAAGGUGACGUUGUGUUGACAGUUUAAGGUGAAGGCGUUAGCUCUGCAGGCUCCUGGGUGACAAGUGUGACAGGUGGUAAAGCAGAGCUAUGCCUUCUGUGUCCCAGGCCAGUGGGACUGGUGCCCAAGAGCGAGGGAGUCAGGGGGGAGAGGUGGGGGGGGGAAGAUGGUUCAGGGCCUGGUACAGAUGUGGACUUUCGCUCUGAGAGAAGCGGGCACCCCAGGCACCCUGGCACCCCUGGCUUCCGCUUAGAGGGCUCCCGCUGGCUACUGAGAUGAGAAGGAAUGUAGGUGGAAAUGGAAGAAGUGGGGCUAGGAGACUCGGCAGCAGGCCAGUCCAGGAAUCCAGCAGGGAGGCCCGAAGGGUCGCCUUCUGUAGACACUUUGAAGGAAGAGCCAGGGGGAUGAGAGGAGACAGGUGUACGAGCUGGAGAGGGUCGUUCAGAAUCCACGUGGAGAAAGGGGAACAGGGAGGAGGCAGUGGUCACGCAUGGCAAAUGCUAGGGGACAGGUCAGUCUGGCGAGGGCUGUGACUGCCUG